rnacentral:rRNA from 1 species
AUUGAACGCUGGCGGCAGGCCUAACACAUGCAAGUCGAACGGUAGCACAGAGAGCUUGCUCUCGGGUGACGAGUGGCGGACGGGUGAGUAAUGUCUGGGAAACUGCCCGAUGGAGGGGGAUAACUACUGGAAACGGUAGCUAAUACCGCAUAACGUCGCAAGACCAAAGUGAGGGACCUUCGGGCCCCACACCAUCGGAUGUGCCCGGAUGGGAUUAGCUAGUAGGUGGGGUAAGGGCUCACCUAGGCGACGAUCCCUAGAUGGUCUGAGAGGAGAACCAGCCACACUGGAACUGAGACACGGUCCAGACUCCUACGGGAGGCAGCAGUGGGGAAUAUUGCACAAUGGGCGCAAGCCUGAUGCAGCCAUGCCGCGUGUAUGAAGAAGGCCUUCGGGUUGUAAAGUACUUUCAGCGGGGAGGAAGGCGGUGAAGUUAAUAACUUCACCGAUUGACGUUACCCGCAGAAGAAGCACCGGCUAACUCCGUGCCAGCAGCCGCCGUAA